AAGCUUAGCUCAGUUGGUUCAGAGCACUUGCCUUACAAGCAAGGGGUCGCUGGUUCGAGCCCAGCAGUUUCC
rnacentral:tRNA from 1 species